rnacentral:rRNA from 1 species
AUUGAACGCUGGCGGCAGGCCUAACACAUGCAAGUCGAGCGGAGCGGCGGACGGGUGAGUAAUGCCUAGGAAUCUGCCUGGUAGUGGGGGAUAACGUCCGGAAACGGGCGCUAAUACCGCAUACUAUCAGAUGAGCCUAGGUCGGAUUAGCUAGUUGGUGGGGUAAAGGCCGACCAAGGCGACGAUCCGUAACUGGUCUGAGAGGAUGAUCAGUCAAACUGUGAUUGGGACAAGGUCCAGAACCCUCAGGGAGGGAGCCGUUGGGAAUAUUGUACAAUGGGCGAAAGCCUGAUCCAGCCAUGCCGCGUGUGUGAAGAAGGUCUUCGGAUUGUAAAGCACUUUAAGUUGGGAGGCGUUACCAACAGAAUAAGCACCGGCUAACUUCGGGCCAGCCGCCGCGGUAAUAC